rnacentral:misc_RNA from 1 species
UCCGAGUUGUCCCCGGCAGUCUCCUACGAGUCCCCGGCAUUACCCGCUGGCAACAUAGGAUAAGGGUUGCGCUCGUUGCGGGACUUAACCCAACAUCUCACGACACGAGCUGACGACAGCCAUGCACCACCUGUGCAAGCUCCCCUUGCGGGGUCGUCCCACUUUCAUGGUCCUACCACUUGCAUGUCAAGCCUAGGUAAGGUUCUUCGCGUUGCGCCGAAUUAAACCACAUGCUCCACCGCUUGUGCGGGCCCCCGUCAAUUCCUUUGAGUUUCAGCCUUGCGGCCGUACUCCCCAGGCGGGGUACUUCCUGCGUUAGCGCCGGCACCCAGGGGGUCGCUCCCCCAGGCACCUAGUACCCAUCGUUUACGGCGUGGACUAC